AGGCGGCUCUUCAAGUCGAGUGUGAAAGCUCCAGGCUUAACCUGGGAAUUGCGCUUGAUACUGUUGAGCUAGAGUGUGGAAGGGGCUACUGGAAUCCCGUGUGUAGCGGUGAAAUGCGUAGAUAUACGGAGGAACACCUGCGGCGAAGGCGGGUAGCUGGGCCAACACUGACGCUGAUUCACGAAAGCUAGGGGAGCAAACG
rnacentral:rRNA from 1 species